UGGAAGGUUCGGCCGCUGUUCUUGCAGCCACAAAAUAGAAGAUUUGGUUUUCCUCUCAGAGCUCUGCUGGAAAAACGAAAGCCGUGAGUGGCAGAAAAUGCAGGGCAGGGCAUUGGUGGGAGCCAUGUAAAUAAGUGAAUGAGCGUUUUCUAUUCCUAAGUUCUACUUUUGUGCUUCCUAUUCCUAAGUUCUACUUUUGUGCUACUUUAGGAUAGGGUUAGGUUUAAAGUGUGGUGUUUGGUUUCUUUUAGGUAUUUUAACUACUACAAUCAAUGUACACCUUUCUUGACUUCAAUAAUGUUGGUAAUAGGUUGGAAGUGCUCAAUCAAGAACCUGCUAAGUCUUGUGCAAUUUCUUCUUUUUCUUUUUUAUCUCCUAAAUGGAUUCGACUACUUCAAGAUACUUUUUACUUUGCUCUUCGACAGCC
rnacentral:lncRNA from 1 species